GUAUUGUAUUGCGUUAAACGCGGCGUACAUUCCAUGAGACUUUGUUACGGUGUGUGUGUAAAAACGUAGGACCACGGCAAGGAGACAGGGUCCCCAAGGCCAUAGAACUACAGAGGGUGCACAGGUGUGAGUGGAUGUGUAAACAGAGCGUGCACGUGCCCCCUUUCGAGGGCCAGCAACAGCUCGUGUCGACAGUUCGGUAAUGAUCCUUCCGCAGGUUCACCUACGGAAA
rnacentral:misc_RNA from 1 species